rnacentral:rRNA from 1 species
UACAGAGGUCCCAAGCGUUGUUCGGAUUCACUGGGCGUAAAGGGUGCGUAGGCGGUCGGGUAAGUCUGAUGUGAAAUCUCACAGCUUAACUGUGAAACUGCAUUGGAUACUAUUCGGCUAGAGAGUUGGAGGGGGGACUGGAAUUCUUGGUGUAGCAGUGAAAUGCGUAGAUAUCAAGAGGAACACCAGUGGCGAAGGCGAGUCCCUGGACAACUUCUGACGCUGAGGCACGAAAGCUAGGGUAGCAAACGGG